rnacentral:rRNA from 1 species
CCUACGGGCGGCAGCAGUGGGGAAUAUUGGACAAUGGGGGCAACCCUGAUCCAGCCAUGCCGCGUGUGUGAAGAAGGCCCUCGGGUUGUAAAGCACUUUCAGUGAGGAAGAACGCCUGGUGGUUAAUACCCAUCAGGAAAGACAUCACUCACAGAAGAAGCACCGGCUAACUCCGUGCCAGCAGCCGCGGUAAUACGGAGGGUGCGAGCGUUAAUCGGAAUUACUGGGCGUAAAGCGCGCGUAGGUGGCUUGAUAAGCCGGUUGGGAAAGCCCCGGGCUCAACCUGGGAACGGCAUCCGGAACUGUCAAGCUAGAGUGCAGGAGAGGAAGGUAGAAUUCCCGGUGUAGGGGUGAAAUGCGUAGAGAUCGGGCGGAAUACCAGUGGCGAAGGCGGCCUUCUGGACUGACACUGACACUGAGGUGCGAAAGCGUGGGUAGCAAACAGGAUUAGAUACCCCUGUAGUC